CAGCACUUUUUGGGGGCCUUUUGGAGGAACAAUUAUCUGUAAGCGUGGGCCAAGUCUUUUGCCUUUUAGUUUCUUUAAUGAUACACAUCUCCCCUCCUCCACAUUUCUGUUCUGUUCCAUCUUUGAUGUGUUGCAGAUCUUACACUGUGGGCUCUUACAAUACAAAAAGAUUCCUAUUAUAUCUGCGGAGCAUCUGGCUAGUCACAAAUACAUGACUCAGAUGUAGAUGUUUCACCAUCCUGAGCAACCGUGUCGGAGUGAACUGGUGUGCCACCAUCUAGAGAUCACCACCAUGAAUGCAUAGAUACAGAAUGAAAAACAAGAAGAAGAAGAAGAAAAAGAAGAGGAAGAGAGGGAGGAAGAAAACAAAGAAGAAAAAGAAAAAGAAAAGAAAGUGAACAUUGUUGUGAAAGCCUCAACGAGUUAAUCGGACUCAGACUUCACCCGUCCCUUUUCCCCCAGCAGUCUCUUGGGUUCGUCUUCGCUCCUGAGUGUCAACAAAACAUCACUGACUGCCUGUGUUUUUUUUUCAGCUCUUGGUGGCUUCUCUGCAUCCACCUCUCAUAACGAAUGCAAACAACAAAGACAUGUCUGUCUCGCCUUUUUCGAUUUUAGUUCGUUUAUAACUUCUUUUUCAGUACAUCAGUAGACAUCGGUAGAAUGAAAGAAAUGAUUUCUUAUUUUGUGCAUAACUGUGUGUGUGUGUGUGUGUGUGUGUGUGUGUGUGUGUGUGAAUGCAUUUCGCUCUUCUUUUUUUGAGGUUUACACAACAAAAGGUGCACCUUGUUAUAAAACAGAGAGAAAGAACGUAGAAGAACAAAACACAUUGUCAAAGAAAAUUGUGCAUGCACACAGUAUACUUUCGCUAGGUGGCUCUACUCCUUAAAGACCUCGAUUGUACAAGGACAGGGGGGUUCGUGGGAGGGAUGGGGUGGGUAUUGGGGUGGGGUAUUAGGGAGGGGUACUUUGGGUUCAGAAUCGUCACUUCAUGACAGCUGAAUGUUCUUCUGGGUCAAACACGCAGCAGUGAACCUUUUAAAGCACAUUGAGGCUUUCGUAGUUUUCAUGUUGCUGAUUGCACAUCAAGUGCCAUAGACAAUACUUUCAUCCAAAUAGAGAGACGAAGCGAGAGAGAGAGACCAGAGAGAGGGAUGUCCACCAGUGUUAAUGUGUUCACCUGCAUAAUGCCUUUAAGUCUCAAAUGUAAAGCCAGACUGUAGAAGAUGCUGGAAUGGUACGUGGCCUAGAGCUGGGUGGGAUCUGCUCCUCACGCAGGCUGCUGUUUGGGAGGUCUCUUUCUUGCCUUCCUGCCCCAGGAGAUACAGAUGCACAAUACGUUUGAAUUUUAUUCAUUUGCAUCCUUUUGCCAUUACGAGUCUAUGGAUUGUGUUCUUACAGAAGGUCACAGGUCACGGAAAGACUUGUUGCCAUUGGUUUUGUUUUUGUGAAUGGAAAUACUCUUUUCUUCAUUUUUUUUCAGAGUUUUUUUUGGUUUCUUUUCACAAUCGAUGUGUUGUUUCCCUGAGAUAGUGAUCGUGAGGGUUGGGCGUUUCCAGACUUUUGUUUCGUUUUUGUUUUGUAUUCCCACAGUUUUCCCCCUUGUUUUGUUGUUUUUUUUCUGUUCAGAAGCAUGAAAGUCUGCAGACUCUAAAAGGCUUUAUCCAGAAAUGGCUUUUGCCCUAAAACGUUGAAUGCGCUAUGCUCUCCUCAGUCUCACAGGAGCCAGCAGAGACUAAAAAACUGAGGAGGACAGAGAGAUAGCAGACAAACUGCUACAGAAUCUAUAUAUAUAUGCAUGCUUAACCAAAUCAGUAUGAUGAGGACGUGACAGGGCAGACACUGUGUUUUGGGUGUUUUUUUUUUAUGUGAUUUCUUCUCUCUCUUGUUUAUUUCUCGCAUUUUUUUAAAGGUUUUAUUGGUACUAUUUGUUUUUUUUAAUUAUUUGAUUGUUCUUCGUGUUCUUUAAUUACGAUAAGAGCUUGUGAGUCUGGUAUGUAUUUUUCUAGUUUCUGGUUCAGAGGAUGUGAAAUUAGUUGUGUGACAGUGAGUAUUUUAAAACACAGAUUCAGCCAAAGUUCUUUUUUUUCUCCAUGUUUUUUUUUUUCAAAGGUUUGUUUGGUUUGGAGAUUUAAUUGAGCAGGUGGCUUCGUUAAGUGCUGUUACACACUUGUGUUGGUGUCGGAAUCAGAACCAGUUGUUGCGAGAUAGAGAGUUGCAUAUGUCCAUUGGGAAAACUACGAGUAGCGUAAAAGGACUGAUUCUCUCGGCCCGGCACCUGUGGGAGUCUUUCAGCUUAAUUUAUUUCUCUGAAUUCAAAAUGUCAUCAGUCGACAGACCUUGUCUGAAGUAGUAGAAACAAGGCUCUGAGGGGUAACGGCAAGAGUACAAACACAACGGGGGCAAGAGGGCGACUUAAAAUGAUUGUAUGUUUCCGAAACCAAGGCCUUAGAGCACACAUGAUGAGUUUUUAAGUGCCACAUUGUACGCCAUUUUCAAAAUCACAAGGUCAUCUCUGACACAGCAAAGCCAAUGUCACUCACAGGAUUGUUUCACCUUCAUUUGACCAUGAUUUUUGCCAUCUCAUCAUUUUGAUUCCAUGGUAUUUGUUGGUUUAUUUGUUACUUACUUAAAGUAGGUGUGUUUCAUUUCAUAGUAUUAACAGCUUGGAUACUGUUAUAAUAUUAGUUUUUUUGUUGGAUUAGAUUUUAUAGAACUUUUGCAGGAUGAGCUACUAGAGAUAGUGUGUGCUUUUGUGUUCAUCACGACAUACUCCGUUUUUUGAAUUUUCCGUGCAGUCUUGAUUUAAGUAUUAGUAGUAUAAUUGUAAACUAAAUGAUUUUUAUUUUGUAGUGAAAUGUAAGAAUUUUGUUUAUUUUGUCCGUAAAUGUUUGAAUUAUUCGAACAAAGAUCUUUUAUAUGGAUAUCUUACAUGAGGAAAUACUUGCUAUGGAAGAAAUGGAGUCAUUGCGGUGGCAACGGCAACUGCUAAUAACAGUAUAAUAUUUGAAUGAGUGUCUGGUUUGUAUCUAGUCAUUCUAAUUAGAGAACAAGUCGAAGAUACAGAAGAAGAAAAACUAUAUAUCUACGAUAUAAAAAUAGAGUUCUUUGAUGUUAGAAUUAUUUUCUACUGUAUUGAUUUCAAAUAGUAACUAUUGUUUAAAUAUUUCCAAUCUCCCUUGGAGGCCUGGCCUUGUUUAAAGAAGAAAAAAAAAAAAGCUGCAUAUGAUCAUUCUGUCGGAGGAUUUAGGUCCGGAGGUUAAAAGACAUGGCACUGAUGCAUGGGAGGGGGGGUGGGGGGGCUUGACCAUAGAGCUCCCUAGCCCCCCCCAUGCAGUUGGUCACUUACAAGCACGUGCUGGAAUGUAGGGGAUGAAGGUUGACUUUUUUGCACUUCUGUACAUAGUCAAAAAAGAGAGAAUCGUGUAUAAUAUUGAGAUCUUAUUUUGAAUAAUAAAAAAAAUGUCUAUAAAUAUGAGGAAUUUUCUUAAGGAUAAUUUGAAAAAAAAAAAGAAGCAAAAGACAGGCUGAACAAAACUUGCUUGCAAAAAGUGGCACUCAUAGAGUAUAAACUCGGAUACCCCUGACCACCAAACCCUCUUCUCUGGAGAUGGCGAGGAAAUGUUGCUUUGCUUUUUUUGUCAGCGGCUUGUAGUUUGCCAUGGGAAAAAAAACCUGAAACGUUGUGGAGAAGUAACCAUUGGCCUCCGCGGAAUCUGCCUUCUGAUGGAGUGUGUUUUGCCAGCACCCACAGGGAUGUGGCAGGACCAUACCAUAGGUCAAAGGUGAAAGGUCAAAACCCACUGAGAAAAUCCAGUCCUGUUCCAUAACUUCAGCCCCAAGGGUUUUGCAUGUUAAAGGGAAGAACAAGAUAUCUUGAGAUUUUAAAAAGAUGAGAAAAGAAAAGAUAAAAACUUUCGAAAAACAGAG
ensembl:lncRNA